rnacentral:pre_miRNA from 1 species
AAAGUACUCCCUCCAUCCCAAAAUUUUGUCUUAGAUUUGUCUAGAUACGGAUGUAUCAAGUCACAUGUUAGUAUUAGAUACAUCCAUAUCUAGACAAAUCUAAGACAAGAAAUUUGGGACAGAGGGAGUAGUUG